rnacentral:rRNA from 1 species
CGUGUAGGCGGACAUGUAAGUCCGGUGUAAAAGCCCCCGGCUCAACCGGGGAAGGCCAUCGGAGACUGCAAGUCUCGAGUGCGGGAGGGGAGAGUGGAACUCUUGGUGGAGCGGUGAAAUGCGUAGAUAUCAAGAGGAACGCCGGUGGCGAAAGCGGCUCUCUGGCCCGUGACUGACGCUGAGGCGCGAAAGCUAGGGGAGCAAACGGGAUUAGAUACCCCGGUAGUCCUAGCCCUAAACGAUGGGUACUAAGUAGGGGCGGCUCCGAUGUCGUCUCUGCUGUAGCCAAUGUGCUAAGUACCCCGCCUGGGGAGUACGGUCGCAAGGCUGAA